rnacentral:rRNA from 1 species
CCUGGUGACCAUAGCGAGGAGGAAACACCCGUUCCCAUUCCGAACACGGAAGUGAAGGGCCUCAGCGGCGAUGGUACUGUGGGGCUAGCCCGUGGGAGAGUAGCACGUCGCCAGGU